rnacentral:vault_RNA from 1 species
GCGCUGGCGUAGCUCAGUGGUUACUUCAAUGCACAAAUCUCUGUUUGAUUUCGCAAAUCUCUCCCGACCAGGGAUCAAACCACGGGCGCUGUCCAGUGUUUUC